AUUGAACGCUGGCGGCAGGCCUAACACAUGCAAGUCGAACGGUAACAGGAAGAAGCUUGCUUCUUUGCUGACGAGUGGCGGACGGGUGAGUAAUGUCUGGGAAACUGCCUGAUGGAGGGGGAUAACUACUGGAAACGGUAGCUAAUACCGCAUAACGUCGCAAGACCAAAGAGGGGGACCUUCGGGCCUCUUGCCAUCGGAUGUACCCAGAUGGGAUUAGCUAGUAGGUGGGGUAACGGCUCACCUAGGCGACGAUCCCUAGCUGGUCUGAGAGGAUGACCAGCCACACUGGAACUGAGACACGGUCCAGACUCCUACGGGAGGCAGCAGUGGGGAAUAUUGCACAAUGGGCGCAAGCCUGAUGCAGCCAUGCCGCGUGUAUGAAGAAGGCCUUCGGGUUGUAAAGUACUUUCAGCGGGGAGGAAGGGAGUAAAGUUAAUACCUUUGCUCAUUGACGUUACCCGCAGAAGAAGCACCGGCUAACUCCGUG
rnacentral:rRNA from 1 species